rnacentral:rRNA from 1 species
AUCCAGACUCCUACGGGAGGCAGCAGUGGGGAAUGUUGGGCAAUGGGCGCAAGCCUGACCCAGCAACGCCGCGUGAAGGAAGAAGGCUUUCGGGUUGUAAACUGCUUUUCUCAGGGACGAAGCAAGUGACGGUACCUGAGGAAUAAGCCACGGCUAACUACGUGCCAGCAGCCGCGGUAAUACGUAGGGGGCAAGCGUUAUCCGGAUUUACUGGGUGUAAAGGGAGCGUAGACGGCAGUGCAAGUCUGGAGUGAAAGGCGGGGGCUCAACCCCCGGACUGCUCUGGAAACUGUACGGCUGGAGUGCAGGAGAGGUAAGUGGAAUUCCUAGUGUAGCGGUGAAAUGCGUAGAUAUUAGGAGGAACACCAGUGGCGAAGGCGGCUUUCUGGCUCAUAACUGACGCUGAGGCGCGAAAGCGUGGGGAGCAAACAGGAUUAGAUACCCCGGUA